CAAAGUCCUGGCCGGUCUGGCCGCUGUAAGCACCGGAGGGAGCCCCCUUCGGUGCUGACGGUCGACCCUUUGUGAAAACCCCCCUACCUUGUUGAUUUUGGCAGCGUCUCCCGGCUCGUCCGGGGCAUCAGCCUGCCGGUGAUACCUUUGGAAACCCUUUGUCCUGAAAGGAAGCAUUGAUAACGUCUGAGCGCGCAGUCGAAUGACACGUA
rnacentral:misc_RNA from 1 species